CAUAAGUAAAGAGGUGUCGUGGUCAGAAAGAUUUACAAAUCUUACAAUUAUAGAAACAUAAGUAAAGAGGUGUCGUGGUCAGAAAGACUUACAAAUCUUACAAUUAUAGAAACAUAAGUAAAGAGGUGUCGUGGUCAGAAAGACUUACAAAUCUUACAAUUAUAGAAACAUAAGUAAAGAGGUGUCGUGGUCAGAAAGACUUACAAAUCUUACAAUUAUAGAAACAUAAGUAAAGAGGUGUCGUGGUCAGAAAGACUUACAAAUCUUACAAUUAUAGAAACAUAAGUAAAGAGGUAAACAUGAGAGGAGAAAGGAAUAGUUUGGCAUUUAUAGUUCGAACUUCAGAGAAAAAUGAAUAGAAAAUGAAAAGGAGAAACUUGAUUUUUACAUUUCAAAUUUCAGCUAGGAAAAUAUAUAUAGAAAAAGCAGAAGGAAAAGUCUGGCUUUCACGAUUAAAAUUUCAGAUAGGAAAAAAUAUAUAUGAGAAAAAUUUAAAGAGCAAAUUGAGAAAGGGUGAUACAGAGACAGUUUAUAACUUUUUGGGAAGCAAACACUGUAGAGGAAUAUGGCACAACAUUAACGAAAUUAGAGAAAUUGUAAGUUUUGAAAUUAAGGUUUAAUUGUAAGUUCCAUAUAACCUAAAAAAAUAAGCAAAAUGAAAGAAAAAGUAGAAAAAUGUUUGAAUUUCAAAAAGUAAACGGAAAAGUAAGUUGGAAUAUUGAUUAACAUGAAAGUAAGUUGUAAUAUUGAUUAACAUGAAAUUAAAAUAGAAAAGUAAGUUGGAAUAUUGAUUAACAUGAAAUUAAAAUAGAAAAGUAAGUUGGAAUAUUGAUUAACAUGAAAUUAAAAUCAAAAAGUAAGUUGGAAUAUUCAUUAAUAUGAAAUUAAAAUAGAAAAGUAAGUUGGAAUAUUGAUUAACAUGAAAAUAAAAUAGAAAAGUAAGUUGGAAUAUUGAUUAACAUGAAAAUAAAAUAGAAAAGUAAGUUGGAAUAUUGAUUAACAUGAAA